rnacentral:rRNA from 1 species
GAUGAACGCUGGCGGCGUGCCUAAUACAUGCAAGUCGAGCGAACGGACGAGAAGCUUGCUUCACUGAUGUUAGCGGCGGACGGAUGAGUAACACGUGGAUAACCUACCUAUAAGACUGGGAUAACUUCGGGAAACCGGAGCUAAUACCGGAUAAUAUUUUGAACCGCAUGGUUCAAAAGUGAAAGACGGUCUUGCUGUCACUUAUAGAUGGAUCCGCGCUGCAUUAGCUAGUUGGUAAGGUAACGGCUUACCAAGGCAACGAUGCAUAGCCGACCUGAGAGGGUGAUCGGCCACACUGGAACUGAGACACGGUCCAGACUCCUACGGGAGGCAGCAGUAGGGAAUCUUCCGCAAUGGGCGAAAGCCUGACGGAGCAACGCCGCGUGAGUGAUGAAGGUCUUCGGAUCGUAAAACUCUGUUAUUAGGGAAGAACAUAUGUGUAAGUAACUGUGCACAUCUUGACGGUACCUAAUCAGAAAGCCACGGCUAACUACGUG